rnacentral:rRNA from 1 species
AUUGAACGCUGGCGGCAGGCCUAACACAUGCAAGUCGAGCGGAUGAAGGGAGCUUGCUCCUGGAUUCAGCGGCGGACGGGUGAGUAAUGCCUAGGAAUCUGCCUGGUAGUGGGGGAUAACGUCCGGAAACGGGCGCUAAUACCGCAUACGUCCUGAGGGAGAAAGUGGGGGAUCUUCGGACCUCACGCUAUCAGAUGAGCCUAGGUCGGAUUAGCUAGUUGGUGGGGUAAAGGCCUACCAAGGCGACGACCCGUAACUGGUCUGAGAGGAUGAUCAGUCACACUGGAACUGAGACACGGUCCAGACUCCUACGGGAGGCAGCAGUGGGGAAUAUUGGACAAUGGGCGAAAGCCUGAUCCAGCCAUGCCGCGUGUGUGAAGAAGGUCUUCGGAUUGUAAAGCACUUUAAGUUGGGAGGAAGGGCAGUAAGUUAAUACCUUGCUGUUUUGACGUUACCAACAGAAUAAGCACCGGCUAACUUCGU